rnacentral:rRNA from 1 species
GACUACCGGGGUAUCUAAUCCUGUUUGAUCCCCACGCUUUCGCGCUACAGCGUCAGUAACGAGCCAGUGAGCCGCCUUCGCCACCGGUGUUCUUCCCAAUAUCUACGAAUUUCACCUCUACACUGGGAAUUCCACUCACCUCUCUCGUCCUCAAAGCCAUACAGUUCCAAAGGCAAUUCCUAAGUUGAGCUCAGGCAUUUCACCUCUGGCUUGUAAAACCGCCUACGCGCGCUUUACGCCCAGUAAUUCCGAACAACGCUAGCCCCCUUCGUAUUACCGCGGCUGCUGGCACGAAGUUAGCCGGGGCUUAUUCUCCUGUUACCGUCAUCAUCGUCACAGGCUAAAGAACUUUACAAUCCUAAGACCUUCAUCAUUCACGCGGCAUGGCUGCGUCAGACUUUCGUCCAUUGCGCAAGAUUCCCCACUGCAGCCUCCCGUAGG